CUCCUGCAGUGAGAGAGAUGUACCUCGUGCCAGAGGAUAUGCUCGUGAGAGGGGUAAGGUUUAUUACU